GACGAACGCUGGCGGCGUGCUUAACACAUGCAAGUCGAACGCUGAAGCUUGGUGCUUGCACUGGGUGGAUGAGUGGCGAACGGGUGAGUAAUACGUGAGUAACCUGCCCUUGACUCUGGGAUAAGCCUGGGAAACUGGGUCUAAUACUGGAUACGACAUGUCACCGCAUGGUGGUGUGUGGAAAGGGUUUUACUGGUUUUGGAUGGGCUCACGGCCUAUCAGCUUGUUGGUGGGGUAAUGGCUCACCAAGGCGACGACGGGUAGCCGGCCUGAGAGGGUGCCCGGCCCACCUGGCUAUGGGACCCGGCCGAGUCUACUACGGGAGGACGGGGGGGAGAAUUUUCCACACGGGCCGGGUGGGUGAAGAAGGCCCGCCGGUUGGGGAGCGCCGGCCUUGGGGUUGAAAACCUUUUUCAGAACGGAAAGAGGGAAUGACGCGGCCCGAAGAAAAAACCCCCCCUCACUUCGCG
rnacentral:rRNA from 1 species